rnacentral:rRNA from 1 species
UACGAAGGGGGGCUAGCGUUACUCGGAAUUACUGGGCGUAAAGGGCGCGUAGGCGGCGUUCCAAGUUAGGCGUGAAAGUCCUGGGCUCAACCUGGGAACUGCGCUUAAGACUGGAAUGCUAGAGGAUGGAAGAGGGUUGUGGAAUUCCCAGUGUAGAGGUGAAAUUCGUAGAUAUUGGGAAGAACACCGGUGGCGAAGGCGGCAACCUGGUCCAUUUCUGACGCUGAGGCGCGAUAGCGGUGGGGAGCAAACAGG